rnacentral:rRNA from 1 species
GUACACUCCUACGGGAGGCAGCAGUGGGGAAUUUUGGACAAUGGGGGCAACCCUGAUCCAGCAAUGCCGCGUGAGUGAAGAAGGCCUUCGGGUUGUAAAGCUCUUUUGUCAGGGAAGAAACGGCGGUGGCGAAUAACUACUACUAAUGACGGUACCUGAAGAAUAAGCACCGGCUAACUACGUGCCAGCAGCCGCGGUAAUACGUAGGGUGCAAGCGUUAAUCGGAAUUACUGGGCGUAAAGCGUGCGCAGGCGGUUGUGUAAGUCAGAUGUGAAAUCCCCGGGCUCAACCUGGGAAUUGCAUUUGAGACUGCACGGCUAGAGUGUGUCAGAGGGGGGUAGAAUUCCACGUGUAGCAGUGAAAUGCGUAGAUAUGUGGAGGAAUACCGAUGGCGAAGGCAGCCCCCUGGGAUAACACUGACGCUCAUGCACGAAAGCGUGGGGAGCAAACAGGAUUAGAUACCCCGGUAGUCCCAUG